CGAGAGGGAGCAGCACACAGAAAAAGGCACACAGGCAGGGAAAGAAUGAGAAACAGACACACACAUGCAUACACACGUACAGAGUGUCCUUUCUCCUCCAGAGACGGGCAGAGCCUGAGCUUGAGACUGACCGACAGACACAGACACACAACACAGAGACCCGCAGACUCUCAGAGAUGCACAGAGGGAGGGAGAAGGAGAGAGAGACACCCAGGGAGCGAGAGUCCCAGGGAAUGAGACACGCUCUCACGCGCACACACCGUGCGCGCUGGGGCAGACAGAACAGUGCUGCAGCCUGCCCGCCAUAGGCGUCAGAAGCAGCAGGACAGGGAGGCAGAGAAGGCUGGAGGCCCAUGGAAGCUAUGCUGGAUUUGAGCCCAGAUCCCAAAUCUCCAGCCUGUUGUCUUCUCACCACCCACAAGUGCAGGGAGGUUGGUGGCUGUGUGCCAGCGGCCCUCCAUGCUGGGACCACCUGCCCAAGCCCCACUCAGACAACUGGGACAAGCUGGUGUUGGUGUCCAUCGAUCCCUGGACUGUGCCCCUACCCAGGGGUCUCCAGCUGGCAGAGACGGACAGAACCUCACACAUCCAAUGGGAAGGAGCUAUCGUCCUACAUGCCUGGCUUCUGUCUCAGGCCUUAGCAAUGGCAGAAGUGACCUCCAACCACUGUAAACGAACAGGUGUAAGAAUCCCUCGGGGCCACAGAGCAGUCUCACUGCACAGCAAAGGAAUGCUGUUUCUAGUGAGUCUCAAGCAGGAACUGCUUUCCGGGUUACUGUUAACAGGCUCUUGCUCUCAACUAACUUCUCUACCAAGCAGCCUCCUUCAACAAGAAAACCAGGCCAUUCCUUAGAAUCCUGAGUCGAGUGUGGAUGCCAGGCAACAAUUCCAGCAUCUUCCUUGACCCAAAUGCACACCUCCUGACCUCGCCGUUUCUGCCUCCUGCUAAGACCUCUGAGUCAAGAUGGGCAGCCCCGGCUUCUGGAAGUCUGCCGUGCAAACUUCUCUCCUGAGCCCUGGAGAAACAAUCUGGCCUCUGACAAAAUGGGCUCUGAAAGAAGAACAUUCUUAGAAACCUGAGCCCCUUAUUAAAAGGGCCCAACCUGGCACUCCGUUAAAUUGUUUCUCUGAAGGCAGUUCAAGAAUAAGUAGGGGGGGAAAAUGCAGAGAGAGAAACCAGGGAUCAACUGUCUGUCUACACUAAACCUAUUUCCAGAACAUUCAUAGUUGGUAUAAACUUUUAUUUAGGUGCCUACUUGGGAAAAGAUGUGC